rnacentral:rRNA from 1 species
AUGAACCCCGCCCCCGCCCCUGGCCCUGACGGCCUCCCCGUGAAGUUCUUCCAAACCUUCUGGGAUGUGAUUAAGACAGAGGUGAUGGCCCUAUUUGAGGAAUUCUAUGUGGGUGCCAUUGACAUAUCCCACCUCAACUAUGGGAUUAUCACUCUCAUCCCUAAGGUGGGGGAGCUUCUGACAUCCCCCAGUUUCGGCCGAUCACGGUGA